rnacentral:rRNA from 1 species
GACGUAGGGUGCAAGCGUUGUCCGGAUUUACUGGGCGUAAAGCGCGCGUAGGCGGCUCGUUAAGUGUGGAGUGAAAUGCCGGGGCUCAACCCCGGAACUGCUUUACAUACUGGCGAGCUUGAGGGAUGCAGAGGUUUGUGGAAUUCCUGGUGUAACGGUGAAAUGUGUUGAUAUCAGGAGGAACACCCAUGGCGAAGGCAGCAAACUGGGCAUCAUCGACGCUGAGGCGCGAAAGCGUGGGUAGCAAACAGG